AACAAGGCGUACCUGCGGACCUGCGGAGGGAUCAUUACUGAGUUGAAAAACUCCAACCCCUGUGAACACAACCUCUGUCGUUGCUUCGGCGGGCUCGCCCGCCGGAGGUUCCAAACUCUUAAUUUCUUUAGUAUCUCUGAGCCUAAAAGACAAAUAAUCAAAACUUUCAACAAUGGAUCU
rnacentral:misc_RNA from 1 species